rnacentral:rRNA from 1 species
AUUGAACGCUGGCGGCAGGCCUCACACAUGCAAGUCGAACGAGUGGCGGACGGGUGAGUAAUGUCUGGGAAACUGCCUGAUGGAGGGGGCUAACUACUGGACCCGGUAGCUAAUACCGCAUACCAUCAGAUGUGCCCAGAUUGUAUUAGCUAGUAUGUGGGGUAAAGGCUCACCUAGGCGACGAUCCCUAGCUGGUCUGAGAGGAGGACCAGCCACACUGGAACUGAGACACGGUCCAGACGCCUACGGGAGGCAGCAGUGGUGAAUAUUGCACAAGGGGCGCAAGCCUGAGGCAGCCAUGCCGCGUGUAUGAAGAAGGCCUUCGGGUUGUAAAGUACUUUCAGCGGGGAGGCGUUACCCGAAGAAGAAGCACCGGAUAACUCCGUGCCAGCAGCCGCGGUAAUAC